rnacentral:rRNA from 1 species
UACGUAGGUGGCAAGCGUUUGUCCGGAAUUAUUGGGCGUAAAGCGCGCGCAGGCGGUCUUUUAAGUCUGAUGUGAAAGCCCACGGCUCAACCGUGGAGGGUCAUUGGAAACUGGGGGACUUGAGUGCAGAAGAGGAAAGUGGAAUUCCAAGUGUAGCGGUGAAAUGCGUAGAGAUUUGGAGGAACACCAGUGGCGAAGGCGACUUUCUGGUCUGUAACGUGACGCUGAGGCGCGAAAGCGUGGGGAGCAAACGGGAUUAAGAAACCCG